AACUAACAAGGAUUCCCCUAGUAACGGCGAGUGAAGAGGGAAGAGCUCAAAUUUGAAAGCUGGUACCUUCGGUAUCCGCGUUGUAACCUCGAGACACGUUUUCCGUGCGGCGCUAUGGACAAGUUCCUUGGAACAGGACAUCGUAGAGGGUGAAAAUCCCGUACUUGCCAUGGAUGUACCGUGCUUUGCGAUACGUGCUCUAAGAGUCGAGUUGUUUGGGAUUGCAGCUCAAAAUGGGUGGUAGACUCCAUCUAAAGCUAAAUAUCGGGGAGAGACCGAUAGCGAACAAGUACCGUGAGGGAAAGAUGAAAAGCACUUUGGAAAGAGAGUUAAAAGUACGUGAAAUUGUCGAAAGGGAAGCGCUUGAAGUCAGCCAUGCCGCUCAGGACUCAGCCUGGCUUUUGCUUGGUGUAUUUCCUGGGUAGCAAGUCAGCAUUGGUUUGGAUCGUCGGAGAAGCAUAGUCGGAAUGUGGCGCCCUCGGGCGUGUUAUAGCCUUCUAUUGGAUACGACGAUCUAGACCAAGGAACGCAGCGCGCCUUAUGGCGGGUCUUCGGACACCUCG
rnacentral:rRNA from 1 species